UGGGAAUUGCAAUGAGGAGUCCUGUCCCUUUGUCCCGGCACGAAGCCGAGAAAUACUCAGGAUCUAGAAGAACAGAAGUCACACUGGAGGAGUUUUGCGCUGGUCCCUCUCUGUGCCGGACUCGUGUAUCUGUGCUCUUUCCUCGGAGAUUGCCCACCCCUACUGUUUGCUUUUCCUUUUAUUAUUUCCCCAGAGACAGACCUGACUGCUGCCUGACUUUGGAGAACUAUCCAUGGAGCCAAAUAAAGCAACCCUGAAUCCCUGCCCUGCACUGGGCUCUGGAUAUUAUCCUUUAACAACCUACAAAAGGAAGUCACCCUCAAGCAUGUGGUCAGCGGGCACCCACUAGAUAAGAGGCCUGAGUCAGAGUCCCUUCGGUGCAACACGUUACCCACUCUCGGAUGCUCACACAACGAUCGUCCUUUAUGUUGCUCGAGGUUCCUUUGGGCCAGGAGGUCAAGCCAGGGAGCAGCAGAGGGCUUGCUUUGCUCUGUGGGCACUCUGAAGGCCUGUCCCUCAGGUCUGGAGGUCUAUGCUGAUGGUUGAAUUGGGGCUGAGACACCUCCACGUGGCCUCUUCUUGUGGCCUGGGCUUCCUCACAAGAUGGCAGCUGGGUUUCAAGAACAACUGUUGUAAGAGCAAAAGAGCCGUGAGA
rnacentral:lncRNA from 1 species